CACGUAGGGUGCGAGCGUUGUCCGGAAUUAUUGGGCGUAAAGAGCUCGUAGGCGGUGUGUCGCGUCGGCCGUGAAAACCUGUGGCUUAACCAUGGGCUUGCGGUCGAUACGGGCAUCACUGGAGUUCGGCAGGGGAGACUGGAAUUCCUGGUGUAGCGGUGAAAUGCGCAGAUAUCAGGAGGAACACCGAUGGCGAAGGCAGGUCUCUGGGCCACUACUGACGCUGAGAAGCGAAAGCAUGGGGAGCGAACAGG
rnacentral:rRNA from 1 species